UACGUAGGGUGCAAGCGUUGUCCGGAAUUAUUGGGCGUAAAGAGCUCGUAGGCGGUCUGUCACGUCGGCUGUGAAAACCCGAGGCUCAACCUCGGGCCUGCAGUCGAUACGGGCAGACUAGAGUUCGGUAGGGGAGACUGGAAUUCCUGGUGUAGCGGUGAAAUGCGCAGAUAUCAGGAGGAACACCGGUGGCGAAGGCGGGUCUCUGGGCCGAAACUGACGCUGGAGGAGCGAAAGCGUGGGGAGCGAACAGG
rnacentral:rRNA from 1 species